AUGCGUUACUGAGCAUGUCCGGUGCCCGAAGGGGCGCUUUGGACGCCAGUGAAGCGAGGAGAGGCGGAGAAGGAACCGAGCGGGCAGUUGAGGGAAAUCUCGGAGGAGGUUACCUGCGAUCAAACUGGGGCUGCGUAGUGUUAGGGUCAGGCAGCUUUGAAGUGGAAUCCGGAUCCGCCACUCUCGCUGCGUGAUAUUGGGCAUGCCAUCAAAGCGCUCUCAACCGAACGUCUCGGGUAAAAUGGGAUUAGUGAAGUCUACCAAGGAAUUUUCUGGGAAGUUAAGAAUUUCCAAUAAAUCUUGGACUACUCUAAAAUGCACCAGAAAUUACGUGGUCACACUCGUGCAGUGAAAGAAGGCUUUGGCAGUAGCAUAAGACAUUAAGCAGAAGUAGGAAAUGCAGUGAGGAAGAAGUUGUAAUGUUUUCAACAGCUGCCACUAUGGAUCUAGGAUGAGAGCUUUCCACAUGUUGUUAAGAAUGAGAGACAGAUUACUCCAAGGUAGUAACUCCGGAACAAUGAAGGAGGAAGAAUGAAUGAGUUGCGCCCUGAAGAUGGUGGGCUCUCCUUUAUGCAUGAUCAUCACGAUCUCUCUGCAAUGUCUGUCCUGUGACCUCGUGAGGUGUGCAGCGUCAUGCCAGACAUCUGUGUUUGGAUGGCCCUCUGGCUCCUCCACAAUUACUGCAGAGUCAGAAGUGGAAUUUCCGCCUGAUGUUUUAUGUCAAAAUCAGUAUGAAAGACUGCAGCAUGCUGAGUGAGCUUUCCGUUCUCGCUGAGAUGCAAUGCAGGGUCCACCCUCUGCAGGCCACAAUUUUGCCUGGAGGCAAAGCAUUCAGUCUUUCCAUUGGCCUGACAAUUUGAGCCAAGCUUUGAGGCCAACAGACAAAAUGCACUAGCAACUGGAGAGGGCCUGCCUGGUGGCCCUCCCUGUGAGAAGGUAUUCUUCCUGCUCCAUUGACAUCAGGCUUAUUAGCCAUGUUUCUGGAUUUGGUCCAUUUCAUCAUAAAGAGAACAUGGAGCAGGGCUGCAGCUGAUCUUCAAAGGGCAUGAACACAAGCCAGAGAGAAGCCGUUAUUGUUGUAAGCCCUGAAGAUUUGGGGGAUAUUAUUGCAACACAACUCAGCCCAAGCUGACUAAUACAACAAGUUUCUAUGUAUACAUGGAAAUGUAUGUAAUCUUAGCCUCAAAAAAAAAAAAAAGAAAAAAAGAGUAUCUGAAAAUCCCAGGAUACUCGGGGCUCAUGGUGCGUAGUCAAUGAAAUGAUUAGCUCUCUUUCUUCAUCCUUCCCUCUCCAAUCUUUUCUUUUCAUUCUCCUUCAUCUCAUUCUCCUUCUCUCUGUGAUUUACAAAGCUGGUCAUGGAAAAAAAAACAUAGGAGUCAGAAGGCUUCGAUUCUAGGUUCAUAUGUAUGAGAUUUUUUGGAAAAAACUCAUACUCUCAAGGAGUCUCAGUUUCCUCAUCUUCAAGUGGGGAUAAUAACACCCUCUUUACCUAUUCUGCUGGGUUCUUUUGUAGAUCACAUGAAAGAGAGGUUAUGGAAAUCCUUUAUAUAUGUUUUGAAAAUUCUAUCCAGUUGCUGUGGCCUGAAUGUUUGUGUUCUUCAAAAUUUAUAUGUUGAAACCUAAUCACUGAUGUGAUGGUGUUUGAAGGUAAGGCUGUUAGAAGGUGAUUGGCACAAACCCCUCAUAAGAGAAGCCCCAAAGAGAGCUAGCUUGCCUGUUUCACCAUGUGAGGACAUGGUGAGAAGAAGCCAUGUAAGAAUCAGGAAACAGGUCCUCACCAGGCAUGGAAUAUGUCAGCACCUUGAUCUCGGACUUACCAGCCUCCAAACUAGUGACAAAUAAAUUACUAUUCACUAGCUGCCCAAUUAAUGGUAUUUUAUUAUGAUAGACUGAACUGACUAGGACACUAGUUAUAUGAUGAAAAUACCCUACUACUAUUACUACUGCUAGUACUUCCUGUAUUUGCUCAUAUUUUUGGAGGUCUUAUUAUGUUCCAAGUAUGGUUCUAAGUGCUUUUCAUCAGUAACUCUUGUAAGAGCCUAUUUUUAAUUCAGCAAAGGCAACAAAAUACUUUCCCUGGUUUAGUGAGGAGUAUUAACUAAUUGGGGGUAUAAACAUAACAUGGUUUCGUUUUUUCAAUAGUUGCUACUACUCUUGUUCUCCAUAGCAACUUUGGUUUCAAUUCCAUAACUUUCCUGUUGUUUCUGGUCAAAGGAACAGUUGCCUCUAGUUCCUCUGUCUAUUUUAAUAUUUUGACCCUCUCCAUUCCUGUCAGGACAGGUGGAACUCGUGGCAUAGGAAGUUCAAGUGGCAGAGGGGGCCCAGUCUGUACUUGUCUCUACUCCCCCAGAGGAGGAAAGAAAGCAAGACAGAUGCUCCCUCACGUGGAUGUCCAUGGUAUAGUUGCUGUCCUCCCCUUGGGUGGCCAUGACUGCUAUUCCUGUCCACUGAGCUUCAUGAGGGUUGGGGUGCCUCCCUCACCAGGAUCAGACUCUGGGGUCCCCCAGCAGGAGGUACCGUGUGUAUUCCUCUGUGGGCCUUGUAUGGUCCUCCUUCCCCUUCUGCUGCGUGGGUCCCUAGGGAUGCCAUUGCUCCAAAAAUACUUGCUUUCCCAAGCUCUUCAACUCCAGGGCUCAAAAUCCCCUGGGGAUCCCCUUCCUGUAGGUCUUGAGAAUUGCAACUUGGGGGCAGUCCUGACCUGGUCAUCAUCCUCCUCACCACCUCACUGUGCCAUCUCCUCACCUCAUUCUCUAACCCCCAAAAGAUGACCACUGAUGACCAGUCUCCAGGUCAGUGGAGAACGUGUGUGGAGAAGUGCAGGAGGGGUGACAAAGCAUCCCCAAACCUUACAAGUUAUUUCCUUGAUUUUGGAGAAGAAAUCCACUGGGUAGUGCCCACCACCCCCUCACACAGCUCCAGCUAGAAGUAACGAUUUACUCCCUCCCUACACUCCUCUUAUUUUGUCUUUGAGGGUGGGGGUGCUGGUUUUGCUGAAAUGACUCUGCUCAGUCAGGCUUUUGAGAGUGGGAGGGCAGGGGGCAAAGGCAGAAAGGGAAGCAACCAGGCCUUUCUCUGCCUGUUCUCUGAACUCAGAGCAUGGGGUACUAAGGACCUGGGUUCUCUGCUGUGGGCCCAAAGAGGAAACAACAAGAUCCACUUGGUACCUAAUACCCUGUCACACAGAGGUACAACAUCUCCAGCUUGAGGUGGUGUCCUGUGAGUGAUAGCAGCUCCAGGAUGGUGCAUUUACCACUGAGGAAAAGUAGAAUGAGCCCCAGCGUUGGGGGAGCGAUCUGGGAACUGCCCUCCUAUUUGCUCCCACAAUAUCCUGCAGGUUCUAUGAUACAGGUAGUUAGAGCUACUCACUAGGCUGCCUGUCUUCCCCUCCACUGCAGGACAUGCCUGUAUUUUGUCCUCAUCUGUUGCUGUAGUUUGGAUGUGUUAUUUUUUUUUCCUUUGCAUGAGUUUCCAUGCAGAACACAUGUUGGAAUUUAACUGCCAAUGUAAUGGGUGUUGGGAGGUGGGGCCUUUAUCCAAACUUUAAUUAGGUCAUUAAGAUGAUUAGUGUCCUUCUCUGGAGAGACUGGAUUAGGUCUCUUGGGAAUGAAUUAGUUCUCGUGAAAGCUGGUUGUUAUAAAGUGAGGCUGCCUCUCGUGUUUGGUGUCUUUGUACGCUUCUGCUUCCCCUUCCUUCUGCUUUCCACCGGGAGUCAAAGCAGCACCAAGUCCUCACCAGAUGGGCUGCUGGAUCUUGUACUUCCCAGCCUGCAUGACUGUAAGCUCCAUAAACCUCUUUUUAUUCCUUGUAAAUUACCCGGUCUUAGGUAUUCAACAGAAUUGAAUUGCUUAGGUAGCAACACAAAACAGAUGAAGACAUCUGUAUUCCCAGGACCUGGGACAGCACCUGGUAUAUGCAACCUACUCAGCAAAUGUUCUCUAGAAUCUUUAGAGAUUUGGGAAUAUGAAGGAAAAAAAAACUAGAAAAAUGGGGUGGCAGAUAUAUUCCAGAUAAAAAAUAUUUCAGGUGAAUUCUACAAAUCAGGGUGGGUUUCAGACAACUGUGAAUCAUGAGUAUACUUGUUGGGGGAAAAAUUCACAUAGCAAAGACAGCUACUUCUUGCGGUACCCACUGAGGGACUGGGGCAAGGGCAAUGAGAGGCAUAAG
rnacentral:lncRNA from 1 species